UAACACGUGGGAACGUGCCUUUAGGUUCGGAAUAACUCGGGGAAACUUGUGCUAAUACCGAAUGUGCCCUUCGGGGGAAAGAUUUAUCGCCUUUAGAGCGGCCCGCGUCUGAUUAGCUAGUUGGUGAGGUAAAGGCUCACCAAGGCGACGAUCAGUAGCUGGUCUGAGAGGAUGAUCAGCCACAUUGGGACUGAGACACGGCCCAAACUCCUACGGGAGGCAGCAGUGGGGAAUCUUGCGCAAUGGGCGAAAGCCUGACGCAGCCAUGCCGCGUGAAUGAUGAAGGUCUUAGGAUUGUAAAAUUCUUUCACCGGGGACGAUAAUGACGGUACCCGGAGAAGAAGCCCCGGCUAACUUCGUGCCAGCAGCCGCGGUAAUACGAAGGGGGCUAGCGUUGCUCGGAAUUACUGGGCGUAAAGGGAGCGUAGGCGGACAUUUAAGUCAGGGGUGAAAUCCCGGGGCUCAACCUCGGAAUUGCCUUUGAUACUGGGUGUCUUGAGUAUGAGAGAGGUGUGUGGAACUCCGAGUGUAGAGGUGAAAUUCGUAGAUAUUCGGAAGAACACCAGUGGCGAAGGCGACACACUGGCUCAUUACUGACGCUGAGGCUCGAAAGCGUGGGGAGCAAACAGGAUUAGAUACCCUGGUAGUCCACGCCGUAAACGAUGAUUGCUAGUUGUCGGGAUGCAUGCAUUUCGG
rnacentral:rRNA from 1 species